UAUAUCAGUGUGUUUCUUUGUGGUCUUUCUGUUUCUAGGUGGAAGCUGAAUUAGUGAGGAUGACUCCUGCUCCUGUCAUCUCUAAGCUCCUCACACAUCUUUACCUGCACAUGAGGAAAAUCACUCCUGUAGAAUGCAGAUGUUCAGAGGGAGAUGAUGCCACAUCUGGUCCAGCUGAUGGAAGGUCUUGAAGUUCUCUGACUGGCCUCGACUGAAGAUGGUCGUCUCACUGGAUUUAAGGUUCAGAUGCUCAGUAACAAACUCCACCAAUGAGCCAACAGGGAAGCUUUAGGUUUAUUAAAUGUUGCUAUGAAGGUAUCACUGUUUUUCUUUGUGAAUGCAAUGUGCUCCAACUGAAACUUGAAUUAGAACUUAGAAGUAAAUCCUUCCAUCUGAAAGGAUCUAGUUGCAUUAAUAACCUCGUAACAUUCACAUUUUUAUUCCAGUCUUGGUUGGAAAUAGAAUCUCUGUAUUGAUUCAGGUAAAAACUGAACUUCACAGCAUGUUGGAGCAAAACAACCAGAUGAAAACUGUGAUGGUGUUGGAUUGUCAGACCGUAAUGUUGCAGCUCAAAGCAGCUUUUCUAGCUCAGUUCAUUCUGACAUUCAGCUAUGAAUCAACACAGCAGAUGGUGAUCCAUGCUGUGGAAGUCUCACAUCUCCUGAUUUAAUGGAGCUGCUUUACACUUUUUACACUGUUUAUUCACCAACACUUUAUUUAAUAAAAGUCCCAUCUAGUUUUUA